CUGUAGCUAAUUAAGCCAACCAGGUUCCUUUCCUAAUGGUGGCCCGGUGUGUAAUGGCUGCAAACAGCAGUCUCCUUGGUGGUGUAUGUAACCUGUUGCUUGUACAGGUUGCCCUAAGAGACCUUGGAGACAGUU